GCAUGGAUGCUAACAGAACCUGGGAUGGGGGGCUCUGGAGGCUAUGUUUAGUCCCUAGAUGCCACAGAGCCAGGACAUAAUGCAGCUAAUCUUACACUGGGGUAGGAUGUUGUUCUGACUUUCUGAAAACCAAUUGAAAACUACUAUUUAAUAAUUUGUAACUGGGGCACCUGGAUGGCUCAGUCGGUUGAGCGUCCUACUUCGGCUCAGGUCAUGAUCUCACGGUCUGUGAGUUCGAGCCCCGCAUCGGGCUCUGUGCUGACAGCUCAGAGCCUGGAGCCUGCUUCGGAUUCUGUGCCUCCCUCUCUCUCUGCCCCUCCCCUGCUCAUGCUCUGUCUCUCUCUCUGUCAAUAAUAAAUAACAUUUAAAAAAAUUAUAAAAAAUAAUUUGUAACUCAUGACCAAUUUCACCUCUACCUUUUGUUGAAGGGGUAAGCGAUGUUGCAAUGGAAGCAUGCCCCAAAGCCUUGACAAAUGAACAUGUGACUGGUGAACAGAAACUACAAUUUGUUCCUUUAUUUCUUCCAAUGCUUGCAUUCCUCCUGAGUAACAGGCUCCGCACUGGGUGCUGAACAGCACAAGAGCCCUGGCCCUCGAAGGAAAUGAAGUCUGUCUGGGAAGCAAGGAAGCAACUGGACUCGUACACACAGCCUAGAGCAAGAUGAACCUCUUUGUGAAAAGGAACCUUGUGGUAGACACAGAUGAACAAUGCUCUUUCCUUUUGGAAAUUAACCAGUGAGUAUGAAGUUAAACACCUAUAACCAGAAACAGAGUUAUCUGCUUACGCUCUAGAGUUAUGCAGCAAAGUGAAGAAGAAAAGUGGUUCUGUGGGUGGCAAAGAAUCGAUCUUUGCCAGUGAAGGAGUGGGAGAAAGAGUGAACAAUACAGCGGUGCAUUAUAUCAUCUUGCCUCCCUCUGGCACUCACUACUUAUCUCAGUUACAGGGAAGCCAGUGCUCAUCCCACAAGUGGCCAGUCACUGGAGGCUCCAAGAGGCAAACACAGGCUUCUCCUUGUUUGUGCUUGCGCAGUUAAAUAAACCAAGUCAAAGGCAAAUGACAAACUUGCAGCAUAUAAAACAUACAAAGUAUUCAUAUCCUUAAGGAGUAUUUAUAAACUAAUAAAAAUAUGAACAUUAAAAUAAAAACAUUAUAAAGAAAUUGAAGUGUGCAAACAUGUAUAUCAUCAGGAUAUUUGCUGUACUGCUGUUUAUGACAGUGUAAACAUUAGAUGCAACAUAAAUGUCCCACCAAUAAAAGAGAGUAUGGAUAUUUAAUGGAAUACUAUAUACAUUAAAAAUGGUGAUGUGAACCCUGCAUGGCCAAAACAAUUCUGAAAACCAUUAAGAAAGUUGGAAGACUCCUAUUUCCUAAUUUCAAAAUUUACUACAAAGUUAUGGUAACCAAAACAGUGUGGUACUGGCAUAAAGACAGACAUCUAGAACAAUGGAAUAGAACAGAGAGCCCAGAAAUAAACUCUCACAUUUAUUUAUUUUUUUUUAAAUUUUUAAUGUUUAUUUUUGAGAGAGACAGAGAGAGACAGAGAGACAGAACAUGAGCGGGGGAGGGGCAGAGAGAGAGAGGGAGACACAGAAACCAAAGCAGGCUUCAGGCUCUGAGCUGUCAGCAC